rnacentral:rRNA from 1 species
GAUGAACGCUGGCGGCGUGCCUAACACAUGCAAGUCGAGCGAUUUACUUCGGUAAAGAGCGGCGGACGGGUGCGUAACGCGUGGGUAACCUGCCCUGUACACACGGAUAACAUACCGAAAGGUAUGCUAAUACGAGAUAAUAUGCUUUUACCGCAUGGUAGAAGUAUCAAAGCUUUUGCGGUACAGGAUGGACCCGCGUCUGAUUAGCUAGUUGGUGAGGUAACGGCUCACCAAGGCGACGAUCAGUAGCCGACCUGAGAGGGUGAUCGGCCACAUUGGAACUGAGACACGGUCCAAACUCCUACGGGAGGCAGCAGUGGGGAAUAUUGCACAAUGGGCGAAAGCCUGAUGCAGCAACGCCGCGUGAGCGAUGAAGGCCUUCGGGUCGUAAAGCUCUGUCCUCAAGGAAGAUAAUGACGGUACUUGAGGAGGAAGCCCCGGCUAACUACGUG